rnacentral:sRNA from 1 species
AUUUGGGGAAUACAGUCUAAGAACGCGACGUCAUGUCGCAACGACUGCAUGACCACCAUCCUGUGGG